AGCGUGCACCGGGGUCAGUGAAAGUCUGAACCGGCGGUUAUAGUCCGCGACCCGCGUUAGCGGUUGAACUGGUGGAAUUCCAGUACCGACGGUUAAAGUCCGGAUGGUAGGAGCACGUA
rfam:Actinomyces marimammalium strain DSM 15383 Scaffold3, whole genome shotgun sequence.